UACGUAGGGUGCGAGCGUUGUCCGGAAUUAUUGGGCGUAAAGAGCUUGUAGGCGGUUUGUCGCGUCUGCUGUGAAAAUCCGGGGCUCAACCCCGGACUUGCAGUGGGUACGGGCUGACUAGAGUGUGGUAGGGGAGGCUGGAAUUCCUGGUGUAGCGGUGGAAUGCGCAGAUAUCAGGAGGAACACCGAUGGCGAAGGCAGGUCUCUGGGCCACUACUGACGCUGAGGAGCGAAAGCAUGGGUAGCGAACAGGAUUAGAUA
rnacentral:rRNA from 1 species